GUGGAGAGGGGGCUGUGGAGCCCCGCCCGUCUGUAAAACGGGAGCCCUCGCGCGAAGGCGGUUCGACUCCGUCCUCCACC
rnacentral:tRNA from 1 species